rnacentral:rRNA from 1 species
UACAGAGGGUGCGAGCGUUGUCCGGAAUCACUGGGCGUAAAGGGCGCGUAGGCGGCCUGAUAAGUAGGGGGUGAAAUCCUGUGGCUUAACUGCAGGGCUGCCUCCUAGACCGUUAGCCUCGAGCACGGUAGAGGCAGAUGGAAUUCCCGGUGUAGCGGUGGAAUGCGUAGAGAUCGGGAAGAACAUCGGUGGCGAAGGCGGUCUGCUGGGCCGUUGCUGACGCUGAGGCGCGACAGCGUGGGGAGCAAACAGG